AGGAAAUGCUCACUUCCAACCGUGAGAGGAAUAACAAGGAGAGGUCAACAGAUGAGACACCUGGUUCUGCCUUUCAACUUCCUGGGUGACCAAAAGCAUGUCACUCAGCAUCCCUGGGCUCUCUUACCCAUCUGUGCAUAAUUGCUUCUCUCCACUGCAGCUGUGACUCUGUGAACAACUCUGAACAGGUCAGCACCUAGUCUUACGGUGUUGCAAGCAUACAAUGGCACAAAGUUUUGGAUGAGCUUGUUAAAUGCUGAAUACAUGAAGGAGAUUAUUAUUCUAAGGGGCACACGAAGAAUUUAUUCAACAAAGCUGUAUUGAUGAUUUACUCUCUGCAUCAGCUCCUGGGACUGCAAGUAUAAAAGUGAUUCAGACCUUGCCCUUGGGAAGCCGGGGAGAGACUCAAAUAGCUAACAGCAGGGUAAAUAGUGUUCCUGGAGUUGUGCAGUGGGCAAGUUCUGAGCCCACCUUUGCUGGGGAGGCUCUGGAGCGACAGGCACAGCGAUGGACCCAGGAUGUGAGCUUUCCAGCCUCCGAGCAACUUGGUAUCUGUAUGAGAAAACCCAGUCAGCCCUCAUCUCAGAUGCAGGUGCAACACAUAUGGCCGUCAAGCUGGGCAGACCUGAGUUUGAAUCCUGAGCCUACCGCUCGUUAACUGUUAGACCCUGAAAAAGUGCCUCAACCUCUCUUGAGCCUCCACUUUCCAUACCUGUCAUGUUUAUUUAACAAUACCUACC
rnacentral:lncRNA from 1 species